ACCCCAGCAAAAAAUAAAAAAGAAAAAAAUAUCUCCCGACACUUUUAUCAGUUGAAUUUUCCUAACCAUAAUUAUAACUUCUCAUACAUACCCACGCAUGAUGUCAUUAUUCAUGUUAUCCGUUCAAUUAUUGCAAUAUUUAAAUGCACGACCAAGCAAACAUUUUUUCUCUUCUUUUCAUACCCAGUAGUUUUAAAAAAGAAUGCUUGGAGAAGCAAUAUCAUUAUAGUUAGGGUCAUAUGGAAAAGCCCCAUCAACAGUAGCAAGCGUGCCUAUAAUGUGAGGGAGCUUAAGGUGGCAUCUUCUCUGCCGCCGACAGUUGGGUCCUGACCGUACGAUAAGUGGGUAUCUCUCGUAGUUGUCCAGGCUAGAAACCGGCCUCAGGAUCAUCCAGCUAUAGGUGUGUUUCAGUUUUUCACACAUUAAAAAAAGGGGACACAAAAUCAUGGGUUUAUCCCUUCCUUAAUUCUUUAGUUCGGUUCUAUGGCAUUGAUGGAGCAAGCAAACAGUGAAUCAUCAUCAAUUAUGAUGGAUGUUUCGUACCUGUACUAUGCCAAAAUAGGUGGUGCAAUAUGCUAUUUGAUGGGCUUUUUCAGCAGGGAAGACCCGUGGCAAUGAUUAUAGAUGUUAACUGGCCAUGUGGGUGUGCUAUAUGUUAGUGUAAUAAUAUUAAUGCAUGGUUGUGCUCCCUUUAUA